ensembl:ncRNA C36C9.10 ncRNA
GGGGGUGCAUGGCUCAGUGCCUAUGCGCGCUGCUUGCAAUCACAAGGUCACAAGUUCGACCCCCACCUCCUAGGUCCUUCCAGCCUUAAAUGGGAAUUCAGUGUUCGUUCCACUGUCUUACAGCUUACAUACGGC